rnacentral:miRNA from 1 species
UAUACAUACACACAUACACAU